GAUGAACGCUGGCGGCGUGCCUAAUACAUGCAAGUCGAGCGAACGGACGAGAAGCUUGCUUCUCUGAUGUUAGCGGCGGACGGGUGAGUAACACGUGGAUAACCUACCUAUAAGACUGGGAUAACUUCGGGAAACCGGAGCUAAUACCGGAUGAUAUUUUGAACCGCAUGGUUCAAAAGUGAAAGACGGUCUUGCUGUCACUUAUAGAUGGAUCCGCGCUGCAUUAGCUAGUUGGUAAGGUAACGGCUUACCAAGGCAACGAUGCAUAGCCGACCUGAGAGGGUGAUCGGCCACACUGGAACUGAGACACGGUCCAGACUCCUACGGGAGGCAGCAGUAGGGAAUCUUCCGCAAUGGGCGAAAGCCUGACGGAGCAACGCCGCGUGAGUGAUGAAGGUCUUCCGAUCGUAAAACUCUGUUAUUAGGGAAGAACAUAUGUGUAAGUAACUGUGCACAUCUUGACGGUACCUAAUCAGAAAGCCACGGCUAACUACGUG
rnacentral:rRNA from 1 species